UACGUAGGGUGCAAGCGUUGUCCGGAAUCAUUGGGCGUAAAGAGCGUGUAGGCGGCUCGGUAAGUCCGCUGUAAAAGUCCAGGGCUCAACCCUGGGAUGCCGGUGGAAACUGUCGGGCUAGAGUCCGGGAGAGGCGAGUGGAAUUCCUGGUGUAGCGGUGAAAUGCGCAGAUAUCAGGAGGAACACCGAUGGCGAAGGCAGCUCGCUGGAACGGUACUGACGCUGAGACGCGAAAGCGUGGGGAGCAAACAGG
rnacentral:rRNA from 1 species